rnacentral:rRNA from 1 species
UACGGAGGAUGCAAGCGUUAUCCGGAAUGAUUGGGCGUAAAGCGUCCGCAGGUGGCUGUGUAAGUCUGCUGUCAAAGAGCGAAGCUCAACUUCGUAAAGGCAGUGGAAACUACACGGCUAGAGUGCGUUCGGGGCAGAGGGAAUUCCUGGUGUAGCGGUGAAAUGCGUAGAGAUCAGGAAGAACACCGGUGGCGAAGGCGCUCUGCUGGGCCGCAACUGACACUGAGGGACGAAAGCUAGGGGAGCGAAUGGG